UUGUCUUUGCACUUCAACUGCAUUUUCAUACUUCCAGUAGCAUUUUAGAAUGAAUUUCCUUUCUUCAAAGAUGAGUCUGGCUGCCAUCAUUAAUUCCAAUGGGUUUAAUCUGCAAAGAAAAACAAACAAUUGAGUUAUCAGUUGCUAAAGUGUGUAUACAUUUUUUUGGGACACCCUGUAUAUUUACAGUCGUGGAAA